AGGGAAUCUUGGACAAUGGGCGAAAGCCUGAUCCAGCCAUGCCGCGUGAGUGAUGAAGGCCUUAGGGUUGUAAAGCUCUUUCGCCAGGGAAGAUAAUGACGGUACCUGGAUAAGAAGCCCCGGCUAACUUCGUGCCAGCAGCCGCGGUAAUACGAAGGGGGCUAGCGUUGUUCGGAAUUACUGGGCGUAAAGCGCACGUAGGCGGCUUUCCAAGUUGGAGGUGAAAUCCCCGGGCUUAACCCGGGAACUGCCUCCAAAACUGAAAGGCUAGAGUCCGAGAGAGGUGAGUGGAAUUUCCAGUGUAGAGGUGAAAUUCGUAGAUAUUGGAAAGAACACCAGUGGCGAAGGCGGCUCACUGGCUCGGUACUGACGCUGAGGUGCGACAGCGUGGGGAGCAAACA
rnacentral:rRNA from 1 species